rnacentral:rRNA from 1 species
UACGUAGGGUGCAAGCGUUGUCCGGAAUUAUUGGGCGUAAAGAGCUCGUAGGCGGUUUGUCGCGUCGAAUGUGAAAACCCGGGGCUCAACCCCGGGCCUGCAUUCGAUACUGGCAGACUAGAGUUCGGUAGGGGAGUCUGGAAUUCCUGGUGUAGCGGUGAAAUGCGCAGAUAUCAGGAGGAACAUCAGUGGCGAAGGCGGCCCUCUGGUCCAGUACUGACACUCAAGUGCGAAAGCGUGGGGAGCAAACAGG